ACGGCCAUACCAUGCUGAAUAUACCGGUUCUCGUUCGAUCACCGAAGUCAAGCAUCAUUGGGCGCGGUCAUUACUUGGGAGGGUGACCACAUGGGAACACCACGUGCCGUU
rnacentral:rRNA from 1 species